GGAGUGGAACGGGUGGUCGCUGGCCGAAGGUAUGAUGCGGCUGGAGGAAAGUCCGGGCUCCACAGGGCAGAACGCCGGGUAACGCCCGGCGGGGGUAACCCCAGGGAAAGUGCCACAGAAAGCAAACCGCCGGACAGGACCUUGUGUCCUCCGGCAAGGGUGAAAGGGUGCGGUAAGAGCGCACCGCGCUUCCCGGUAACGGGAGCGGCAUGGUAAACCCCGUUCGGAGCAAGACCAAAUAGGGGGACGUUCAGGGCGGCCCGUCCAGUCCCCGGGUAGGUUGCUUGAGGUGGUCGGUAACGACCAUCCCAGAUGAAUGGCCACCUCCCGCCCAUCCUGGAACGAUGGACGGGUACAGAACCCGGCUUACAGUUCCACUCCGGUU
rnacentral:RNase_P_RNA from 1 species